AUUAUGGUUUCAGUCCUUAUACUAUGCUGAAAUUUGAGAUUUAACCCUUUCAAUGACGUAAUUUGGCCCCUCUACUAUUAUAAUGUUAUUAAUAGGUCCAAAAUGAUAGCAUUGUUAAUAGUAGUGACGUGGAUUUUUACCAUAAGAAAGUUAUCUGACCUAUCUUUACCAUAAGAAAUUUAUUAACAACAAAAUCCUCAUCAUCAUUUUAAUGGCAACUUUUAACAAUGUUAUAACAUUAUAACAGUGGAGGGUCCAAAUUAUGUCAAAUUAAAAGGAUUAAAUCUCAAAUUUCAGCGCAGUAGAAGGAUUAAAACCAUGA
rnacentral:pre_miRNA from 1 species